rnacentral:rRNA from 1 species
GUGGAUUAGAUACCCUAGUAGUCCAUGCCGUAAACGUUGGGAACUAGGUGUGGGUCUCAUUCCACGAGAUCCGUGCCGCAGCUAACGCAUUAAGUUCCCCGCCUGGGGAGUACGGCCGCAAGGCUAAAACUCAAAGGAAUUGACGGGGGCCCGCACAAGCGGCGGAGCAUGCGGAUUAAUUCGAUGCAACGCGAAGAACCUUACCAAGGCUUGACAUAUACCGGAAACACUCAGAGAUGGGUGCCCCGCAAGGUCGGUAUACAGGUGGUGCACGGUCGUCGCCAGCU